rnacentral:rRNA from 1 species
UAAGGAAGGCAGCAGGCGCGCAAAUUACCCAAUCCCGACACGGGGAGGUAGUGACAAUAAAUACUGAUACAGGGCUCUUUUGGGUCUUGUAAUUGGAAUGAGUACANUUUAAAUCCCUUAACGAGGAACAAUUGGAGGGCAAGUCUGGUGCCAGCAGCCGCGGUAAUUCCAGCUCCAAUAGGGUAUAUUAAAGUUGUUGUGGUUAAAAAGCUCGUAGUUGAACUUUGGGCCUGGCUGGCCGGUCCGCCUCACCGCGUGCACUGGUCCGGCCGGGCCUUUCCCUCUGUGGAACCCCAUGCCCUUCACUGGGCGUGGCGGGGAAACAGGACCUUUACUUUGAAAAAAUUAGAGUGCUCCAGGCAGGCCUAUGCUCGAAUACAUUAGCAUGGAACAAUGAAAUAGGACGUGCGGUUCUAUUUUAUUGGUUUCUAGGACCGCCGUAAUGAUUAAUAGGGACAGUCGGGGGCAUCAGUAUUCAAUUGUCAGAGGUGAAAUUCUUGGAUUUAUUGAAGACUAACUACUGCGAAAGCAUUUGCAAAGGAUGUUUUCAUUAAUCAGGAACGAAAGUUAGGGGAUCGAAGACGAUCAGAUACCGUCGUAGUCUUAACCAUAAACUAUGCCGACUAGGGAUCGGACGAUGUUAUUUUUUGACUCGUUCGG